rnacentral:rRNA from 1 species
UUGCUCGAGUGGCGAACGGGUGAGUAACACGUGAGUAACCUGCCCUUGACUUUGGGAUAACUUCAGGAAACUGGGGCAAUACCGGAUAGGAGCUCCUGCUGCAUGGUGGGGGUUGGAAAGUUUCGGCGGUUGGGGAUGGACUCGCGGCUUAUCAGCUUGUUGGUGGGGUAGUGGCUUACCAAGGCUUUGACGGGUAGCCGGCCUGAGAGGGUGACCGGCCACAUUGGGACUGAGAUACGGCCCAG